rnacentral:rRNA from 1 species
AUUGAACGCUGGCGGCAGGCCUAACACAUGCAAGUCGAACGGUAACAGGAAGCAGCUUGCUGCUUUGCUGACGAGUGGAGGACGGGUGAGUAAUGUCUGGGAAACUGCCCGAUGGCGGGGGAUAACUACUGGAAACGGUAGCUAAUACCGCAUAACGUCGCAAGACCAAAGAGGGGGACCUUAGGGCCUCUUGCCAUCGGAUGUGCCCAGAUGGGAUUAGCUAGUAGGUGGGGUAACGGCUCACCUAGGCGACGAUCCCUAGCUGGUCUGAGAGGAUGACCAGCCACACUGGAACUGAGACACGGUCCAGACUCCUACGGGAGGCAGCAGUGGGGAAUAUUGCACAAUGGGCGCAAGCCUGAUGCAGCCAUGCCGCGUGUAUGAAGAAGGCCUUCGGGUUGUAAAGUACUUUCAGCGGGGAGGAAGGGAGUAAAGUUAAUACCUUUGCUCAUUGACGUUACCCGCAGAAGAAGCACCGGCUAACUCCGUG